rnacentral:rRNA from 1 species
UAGCGUUAUCCGGAAUUACUGGGCGUAAAGGGUGCGUAGGCGGAUUUUUAAGUGAGAUGUGAAAUACUCGGGCUUAACCUGAGUGCUGCAUUUCAACCGGAAGUCUAGAGUGCAGGAGAGGAGAAGGGAAUUCCUAGUGUAGCGGUGAAAUGCGUAGAGAUUAGGAAGAACACCAGUGGCGAAGGCGCUUCUCUGGACUGUAACUGACGCUGAGGCUCGAAAG